rnacentral:rRNA from 1 species
ACGGGUGAGUAAUGCUUCGGAAUCUACCCAGUAGUGGGGAAUAACUAACCGAAAGGUUAGCUAAUACCGCAUACGUCCUACGGGAGAAAGCGGGGGUCGCAAGACCUCGCGCUAUUGGAUGAGCCGAAGUCGGAUUAGCUAGUUGGUGAGGUAACGGCUCACCAAGGCGACGAUCCGUAGCUGGUCUGAGAGGACGACCAGCCACACUGGAACUGAGACACGGUCCAGACUCCUACGGGAGGCAGCAGUGGGGAAUAUUGGACAAUGGGGGAAACCCUGAUCCAGCGACGCCGCGUGUGUGAAGAAGGCCUGCGGGUUGUAAAGCACUUUUAGUGGGGAUGAAAAGUUCAGGGCUAAUACCUCUGGAUCUUGACCUAACCCACAGAAAAAGCACCGGCUAACUCUGUGCCAGCAGCCGCGG